UACGUAGGUGACAAGCGUUGUCCGGAUUUACUGGGCGUAAAGAGCGCGCAGGCGGUCGUUCAAGUCGCGUGUGAAAGCCCCCGGCUCAACUGGGGAGGGUCACGCGAUACUGAUCGACUGGAAGGCAGGAGAGGGUAGUGGAAUUCCCGGUGUAGUGGUGAAAUGCGUAGAUAUCGGGAGGAACACCAGUGGCGAAGGCGACUACCUGGCCUGUUCUUGACGCUGAGGCGCGAAAGCUAGGGGAGCAAACGGG
rnacentral:rRNA from 1 species